rnacentral:rRNA from 1 species
GUGGGGAAUAUUGCACAAUGGGGGAAACCCUGAUGCAGCGACGCCGCGUGAGCGAGGAAGUAUUUCGGUAUGUAAAGCUCUGUCAGCAGGGAAGAAAGAUGACGGUACCUGACCAAGAAGCACCGGCUAAAUACGUGCCAGCAGCCGCGGUAAUACGUAUGGUGCAAGCGUUAUCCGGAUUUACUGGGUGUAAAGGGAGCGCAGGCGGCGCGGCAAGUCUGAUGUGAAAGCCCGGGGCCCAACCCCGGGACUGCACUGGAAACUGCCGUGCUGGAGUGUCGGAGGGGUAAGCGGAAUUCCUGGUGUAGCGGUGAAAUGCGUAGAUAUCAGGAGGAACACCGGUGGCGAAGGCGGCUUACUGGACGAUGACUGACGCUGAGGCUCGAAAGCGUGGGGAGCAAACAGG